rnacentral:lncRNA from 1 species
UUGUUUUUAUUUUUUGACAUUUCAGAAGCCAUGCUGGAAUGUCAAAAAAAAGGACUUUAAAAAGCUUGGUUUAAUAAUCAAUGUGAUUACUGCAUUGUGCAGCAACCAGAAGAUGGCAUGACUGUAAAAUAAAACAGCCUCCCACAGCCAGGUCCCUUGGCUAGGGGUUAUUUUUAACACACACACACAUACACAAGUUACUACUGUACCUGCUCCCUAUGUUGCCGGAUGAGAACACCCCAUCGCCCCUGCCUCCCAGAACAAUGCCGAGCAAAGUGGGCGCUCUCCAAUGUCAUUACUGCCGAAAUAUCAAGAGUGAUAACACUUGUAAUCAUAAGGAAAGCACUUGCAAUACAGGAAUAAAAAAUUACUGUUACACGGAAAUAACUGCUAAAGGCUUUUCUAUAACACAUGUGCGACGAGGCUGCAGCAGCGCUUGUCAAAGCGGCAGGCACAGGACAGAUGUGUAUGAGAAAGCGAUGCUGUGUUGCAACAGAAAUCUCUGUAAUGAUCACAAAAUAUGGGACGGCAAUAAAUAAAUGCUUUUUAAAAAUCAAUAAAUAUUUACCAGGGUGGAGCA